GACUUAAACGGUGCGAUAGUAAAAAGUUUGUUUUAAGAAGGUCAAACAGUUUGCCCAAGUUUUUCCUUCUUUAAAUCGUUUAACCAUGGCAAAAGCAUUAAAACUCAUCGGACAAACAACAACACCUAAAUAUGUACAAUACCUCCGUCUUGUUGCAAGCCCUAAAGUCAUGCAAAACGUAGCGCAUGCCACUAAUACUGGCAGGAAGGUGGCACUGUCAGCAGUGACGUUUGGAGCAACAUUAGGAUGUCUUGCCUUGUACAUCUCUGAGUAUAGACCAGUGAUGGAAGCGAUACCUAUUUAUGGAAGGAAGUACAAGGCAGAACCUAUUGAACCAAUUGAUUAAAAAAAGCCUAUUUGAGAAAAAGAUCAUCUUCAAGAGAAAACAAAAUGAGCAGAAAGACAGUGUAUUUUGGAGACAAACUAUUGACUGAAUAUUACUUUGUUUAAUAAGUAAGUUUUGCUUGCAAAUGUAUUUACUAAAUGUUUAUUAAAUGUAAAUAACA